CCUACGGGAGGCAGCAGUGGGGAAUCUUGUGCAAUGGACGAAAGUCUGACACAGCCACGCCGCGUGCGGGAAGAAGGCCUUCGGGUUGUAAACCGCUUUCAGCAGGAACGAAAAUGACGGUACCUGCAGAAGAAGAUGCGGCCAACUACGUGCCAGCAGCCGCGGUGAUACGUAGGCAUCAAGCGUUGUCCGGAUUUAUUGGGCGUAAAGAGCUCGUAGGCGGUUCAGCAAGUCGGGUGUGAAAACUCUGGGCUUAACCCAGAGCCUGCACUCGAAACUGCUGUGACUAGGGUUCGGUAGGGGAGCAGGGAAUUCCUAGUGUAGCGGUGAAAUGCGCAGAUAUUAGGAGGAACACCAAUGGCGAAGGCACUGCUCUGGGCCGAUACUGACGCUGAGGAGCGAGAGCGUGGGUAGCAAACAGGAUUAGAUACCCUGGUAGUCCACGCCGUAAACGAUGGGCACUAGGUGUGGGUCUCUAACCAACGAGAUCUGCGCCGUCGCUAACGCAUUAAGUGCCCCGCCUGGGGGAGGUACGGUCGCGAGAACGUUAAACUUACGAAAGAAGUUAGACGGCGNGAGAGNGCGACGGACGACGACGAGGGAGGAGG
rnacentral:rRNA from 1 species